GACGAACGCUGGCGGCGUGCUUAACACAUGCAAGUCGAACGGUAAGGCCCUUCGGGGUACACGAGUGGCGAACGGGUGAGUAACACGUGGGUGAUCUGCCCUGCACUUCGGGAUAAGCCUGGGAAACUGGGUCUAAUACCGGAUAGGACCACUGCCUGCAGUGGCGGUGGUGGAAAGCUUUUGCGGUGUGGGAUGGGCCCGCGGCCGAUCAGCUUGUUGGUGGGGUGAUGGCCUACCAAGGCGACGACGGGUAGCCGGCCUGAGAGGGUGACCGGCCACAGGGGGACUGAGAUACGGCCCAGACGGCUACGGGAGGCAGCAGUGGGGAAUAUUGCAGAAUGGGCGCAAGCCUGAUGCAGCGACGCCGCGUGAGGGAUGACGGCCUUCGGGUUGUAAACCUCUUUCAGCACCGACGAAGCGCAAGUGACGGUAGGUGCAGAAGAAGGACCGGCCAACUACGUGCCAGCCGCCGCGGUAA
rnacentral:rRNA from 1 species